GCCCGACUAGCUCAUCGGUAGAGCGCCUCACUAGUAAUAUCUUUCAAAGAAGCUUCCUAAAAAUGAGGAGGCAACAGGUUCGAUUCCUGUGUUGGGCA